GGCUGGAAACCAAACCUAAAUAAAUUGCAGGAGUAGCCUUUGACCCGUUGGUUCCGUUCCUUCCCAGAUUCCAAAAAACCAGGACGAUUAAGCUCUCUACAGUCGAGUAAACUCCAGACCGUUAUUCCCCUCUCACAAAAGUGUGCCAGAACUUCCUACCUACUCGCUCUUCUUCGUUGAAAGAUCUUAUAUACAACAACAAGAAGAAGGAGAAAGAAAAGUA